rnacentral:rRNA from 1 species
UACGUAGGGAGCAAGCGUUAUCCGGAUUUAUUGGGUGUAAAGGGUGCGUAGACGGGUAUAUAAGUUAGUUGUGAAAUCCCUCGGCUCAACUGAGGAGCUGCAACUAAAACUGUAAAUCUUGAGUGCGGGAGAGGAAAGUGGAAUUCCUAGUGUAGCGGUGAAAUGCGUAGAUAUUAGGAGGAACACCAGUGGCGAAGGUGACUUUCUGGACCGUAACUGACGUUGAGGCACGAAAGUGUGGGGAGCAAACAGG